AUGAUAGUAUUACCAGUGGCACACAAUCAUUCCUGGUUCACAUUAAUUUUUAACUUCCCAAGGAGAAGGACAACAAUCCUCGAUCCGAUGAUAAACAACGGAAACAGACUGGUAGAUGAAAUCCGCAAUGAGCAUAUCAAGUUAGCCGACGAGCUGCCUAGCGCACAAAUGGAUUGUAUUGCAGAAUUCUUCGAUGGAUGGGCACCAAAGACAAAAGGAUGGCAGAAUUGGUUCCCCAAACUGACAACUGGACCUUGGGUCUGCAGCAGGGCUUCUAGCGGUGUACUAGCAUUUUACUUCGCAAGGCAGUGUAUGGGUACAAAAUUACAGAGGACUCUAUCGCCUCUAGGGGAUGAAAUCGACCAAUAUCGGAUGAUGCUUCUCUAUGAAGUUCUUGGGUUAGACGGUAACAUCGGCCAGCUACCUGCUAAAUUUAAUUUAUGCCAGAAUGAACCUUGA
rnacentral:rRNA from 1 species